rnacentral:rRNA from 1 species
GGGUGCGAUUAUACCAGCACUAAUGCACCGGAUCCCAUCAGAACUCCGUAGUUAAGCGUGCUUGGGCGAGUGUAGUACUAGGAUGGGUGACCUCCUGGGAAGUCCUCGUGUUGCCCCCC